GAUGAACGCUGGCGGCGUGCCUAAUACAUGCAAGUCGAGCGAACGGAUGAGAAGCUUGCUUCUCUGAUGUUAGCGGCGGACGGGUGAGUAACACGUGGAUAACCUACCUAUAAGACUGGGAUAACUUCGGGAAACCGGAGCUAAUACCGGAUAAUAUUUUGAACCGCAUGGUUCAAAAGUGAAAGACGGUCUUGCUGUCACUUAUAGAUGGAUCCGCGCUGCAUUAGCUAGUUGGUAAGGUAACGGCUUACCAAGGCAACGAUGCAUAGCCGACCUGAGAGGGUGAUCGGCCACACUGGAACUGAGACACGGUCCAGACUCCUACGGGAGGCAGCAGUAGGGAAUCUUCCGCAAUGGGCGAAAGCCUGACGGAGCAACGCCGCGUGAGUGAUGAAGGUCUUCGGAUCGUAAAACUCUGUUAUUAGGGAAGAACAUAUGUGUAAGUAACUGUGCACAUCUUGACGGUACCUAAUCAGAAAGCCUCGGCUAACUACGUG
rnacentral:rRNA from 1 species